AUUGAACGCUGGCGGCAUGCCUUACACAUGCAAGUCGAACGGCAGCACGGGAGCAAUCCUGGUGGCGAGUGGCGAACGGGUGAGUAAUAUAUCGGAACGUGCCCAGUCGUGGGGGAUAACGUAGCGAAAGCUACGCUAAUACCGCAUACGAUCUAUGGAUGAAAGCGGGGGAUCGCAAGACCUCGCGCGAUUGGAGCGGCCGAUAUCAGAUUAGGUAGUUGAUGAGGUAAAGGCUCACCAAGCCGACGAUCUGUAGCGGGUCUGAGAGGACGACCAGACACACUGGGACUGAGACACGGCCCAGACUCCUACGGGAGGCAGCAGUGGGGAAUUUUGGACAAUGGGCGCAAGCCUGAUCCAGCAAUGCCGCGUGCAGGAUGAAGGCCUUCGGGUUGUAAACUGCUUUUGUACGGAACGAAACGGCGAGCUCUAAUACAGCUUGCUAAUGACGGUACCGUAAGAAUAAGCACCGGCUAACUACGUGCCAGCCGCCGCAGUAA
rnacentral:rRNA from 1 species